CGAGAUUGCCUGGUAGUGGGGGACAACGUUUCGAAAGGAACGCUAAUACCGCAUACGUCCUACGGGAGAAAGCAGGGGACCUUCGGGCCUUGCGCUAUCAGAUGAGCCUAGGUCGGAUUAGCUAGUUGGUGAGGUAAUGGCUCACCAAGGCGACGAUCCGUAACUGGUCUGAGAGGAUGAUCAGUCACACUGGAACUGAGACACGGUCCAG
rnacentral:rRNA from 1 species